rnacentral:rRNA from 1 species
AUACGGAGGAUCCGAGCGUUAUCCGGAUUUAUUGGGUUUAAAGGGUGCGCAGGCGGCCAUUUAAGUCAGCGGUUAAAUCGUGGGGCUCAACCCCAUUCUGCCGUUGAUACUGGGUGGCUUGAUUGCGGUCGAGGUUGGCGGAAUUCGUUGUGUAGCGGUGAAAUGCAUAGAUAUGACGAAGAACACCGAUUGCGUAGGCAGCUGACCAGACCGCAAAUGACGCUCAUGCACGAAAGUGCGGGGAUCGAACAGGAUUAGAUACCCUGGUAGUCCGCACAGUAAACGAUGAAUACUCGCUGUUUGCGAUAUACAGCAAGCGGCCAAGCGAAAGCAUUAAGUAUUCCACCUGGGGAGUACGCCGGCAACGGUGAAACUCAAAUGAAUUGGCGGGG